UUCCGUUCGAAACGCCAUUGUGUUCCGGAUUGAUAACAUUAUGUCGUGGUACAAAAUAGCUAUACACCGUUUAAUUGAACUCUUCUAACUACGGAGACGAGAUAGGACUGAUAUCACCAAAACGCUUAGAAAAUAUGUCAAUUUUCUUCCUGUUUAAAGCUUUUAACUAACAUUGAUUAUCAGCUGUUUUGUACGGAAAACGUGGACUCUAAAUAAUAUACCGUUUCCCUGCUCUGCUGCUAUUGGCAAUACAUUUUUGUCAUGUCAUCUGCAACAGACGAUCAUACAUAUGUGGCGGAUUAUCGAUAUAGAUACAGCUAGGUAGCAAUAGCAGUAGAAGCCCGGAUUUGCAAGCAAAAUGAGGGAAAGAGGAUUCUGAAAAGGAUCAUGUUUUUCAUUUCCACACAUGCAUGUGUAUCACUAUGGACAUCUAAUGUUUUUGUGGGAUUUUGUCCAGCAGUUUGCCUUAACAGAAUUUUUUUAUAUUUUAGUUUCAUAUUUAUGUGGAUUCCAAUAAAAAUCAUACAAACUUCAUUCAUGAUUUUUUUGUUUUUCAUUUCUAAACUUAAUAACAUUUCACUUUCAUAAGAAUUUUAAAACAGAAAUGUUUAAAAAUUUGAUAAAUAAGGGGUUAUCUGGAACCAGACUGAUAUUUUAAAAAUUCUCUAGAAAAUAGUGUAUUGUAUUUUGAGGUAUAUUAUUGUUGAAUACUGUGCCUAGUAUUGGUAACAAAUGCAUGCAACAAAUAUCUCCUACACUUAUUUGG